rnacentral:rRNA from 1 species
AAUAUUGGACAAUGGGGGCAACCCUGAUCCAGCCGUGCCGCGUGUGUGAAGAAGGUCUNCGGAUUNUNAAGCACUUUAAGUUGGGNGGAAGGGCUUUAGGUUAAUACCCUGAAGUUUGACGUUACCAAAAGAAUAAGCACCGGCUAACUCUGUGGCAGCAGCCGGGGGAAUACAGGGGGUUGAAGCGGUAAUCGGAAUUACUGGGCGUAAAGCGCGCGUAGGUGGUUCAGUAAGAUGGGUGUGAAAUCCCCGGGCUCAACCUGGGAACUGCUUUCAUAACUGCUGAGCUAGAGUACGGUAGAGGGUAGUGGAAUUUCCUGUGUAGCGGUGAAAUGCGUAGAUAUAGGAAGGAACACCGGUGGCGAAGGCGACUACCUGGACUGAUACUGACACUGAGGUGCGAAAGCGUGGGGAGCAAAC